AUUGAACGCUGGCGGCAUGCCUUACACAUGCAAGUCGAGCGCCCCGCAAGGGGAGCGGCAGACGGGUGAGUAACGCGUGGGAACGUACCCUUUGCUACGGAAUAGCUCCGGGAAACUGGAAUUAAUACCGUAUGUGCCCUACGGGGGAAAGAUUUAUCGGCAAAGGAUCGGCCCGCGUUGGAUUAGCUAGUUGGUGGGGUAAUGGCCUACCAAGGCGACGAUCCAUAGCUGGUCUGAGAGGAUGAUCAGCCACAUUGGGACUGAGACACGGCCCAAACUCCUACGGGAGGCAGCAGUGGGGAAUAUUGGACAAUGGGCGCAAGCCUGAUCCAGCCAUGCCGCGUGAGUGAUGAAGGCCUUAGGGUUGUAAAGCUCUUUCACCGGAGAAGAUAAUGACGGUAUCCGGAGAAGAAGCCCCGGCUAACUUCGUGCCAGCCGCCGCAGUAAGAC
rnacentral:rRNA from 1 species